rnacentral:rRNA from 1 species
CAUGCAAGUCGAGCGGGGGAAGGUAGCUUGCUACUGGACCUAGCGGCGGACGGGUGAGUAAUGCUUAGGAAUCUGCCUAUUAGUGGGGGACAACAUCUCGAAAGGGAUGCUAAUACCGCAUACGUCCUACGGGAGAAAGCAGGGGAUCUUCGGACCUUGCGCUAAUAGAUGAGCCUAAGUCGGAUUAGCUAGUUGGUGGGGUAAAGGCCUACCAAGGCGACGAUCUGUAGCGGGUCUGAGAGGAUGAUCCGCCACACUGGGACUGAGACACGGCCCAGACUCCUACGGGAGGCAGCAGUG